UAAUUUUAAUAUUCAUUUAGCAUCACUCUUUGUUUUUCCUUCCGUCAACUACAGUAGCUCCUCCUUUACUUUUGUCGAGAGAAAACUACAGUAGAGUAGCUUCUUCCCCAAAAUUCUCUGCUCUGAUUUGAACCAUAGAGUUAACGCAGAGGUUGGGGUUUCGAAAACUGAUAGAUGGAUGGGUGGGUUUACGGUUUCUAAAAUUGAGAGACGGAGUGGUGUGAUUGCUAUGAAAAUGCAUGCUUCGAUUUGAGAAACGACGUUGAGCUAGUGAGAUCCUAUUCUGAAAGCAGCUUUUGAGACCAUGAGCUCCCCUGCCAUCUUUUGUCCGUUUAAUAUCAUCUCUUGAGCGUGUGAAGUUAAGAAGUUGAGCUACUACAUGGGUGAAGAAAGAAUUAAAAGAGUUCGUCAAAUCUUGUUUAAGCUGUAUUCACCUAUCAACAUAUCGUUCAAAAGCAUGAACCUCACUUUUGAAGGAUGUGAUCCUGCUCUGCUUAGGUGCAUUGUGAUUCCUCCGGAUAAUGAACUUUCUGAGUCUUCCUCAGUAGCUCACUCCUACUUUAAAAGGGGACAUCAACACUAGAGAUUCAGGAAGCAGUCAACGAAGGUGUGGUCAAACACGAGAUAUUGAGCAAGAGAUGUGCUGGUUGAAAUACAUUUAUCAAUUUAUUUUUAGAUUUUGUAUUUGAGAGAUGUAUGUCUUGUGAAUUUGUUGGAGGAAUGUUGAUACCUAUACAGUUUUUGGAAUGAUAUAUGAUACACAUUGUAUUGGGUAUCAUGAUUUUAUCUUUAGUAGACUAUUUAUGAAGAAAAAAAAAUAGAUGUGAGUUUACAUAAA